ensembl:snoRNA
GGCCUCUCUCUAUUGGGGCUGUGGAGGUUCCAGUUCAUCCUCAGCCAAGGACGGAGACCACCAUCAGCCCCUGAGGACCACUGUCAGCACUGCCAUGAGCAGGCACCCUUGUUUGCCUGCCUCGGACAUUU